rnacentral:rRNA from 1 species
GAUGAACGCUGGCGGCGUGCUUAACACAUGCAAGUCGAACGGAAAGGCCCUGCUUUUGCGGGUUGCUCGAUUGGCGAACGGGUGAGUAACACGCGAGUAACCUGCCCUUGACUUUGUGAUAAAUUCAGGAAACUCGGGCUAAUACCGGAUAGGAGCUCCUGCAGCACGGUGGUCGUUGGUAAGUUUCGGCUGUUGGGGAUGGACUCGCGGCUUAUCCGCUUGUUUGUGGGGUAGUGGCUUACAAAGGCUUUGACGGGUAGCCGGCCUUAGAGGGUGACCGGCCACAUUGGGACUGAGAUACGGCCCAGACUCCUACGGGAGGCAGCAGUGGGGAAUAUUGCGCAAUGGGCGGAAGCCUGAUGCAGCAGCGCCGCGUGCGUGAUGACGGCCUUCGAGUUGUAAACCGCUUUCGCCUGUGACGAAGCGUGAGUGACGGUAAUGGGUAAAGAAGCACCGGCUAACUACGUG